CACUAUCGUUAACUGAAUACAUAGGUUAACGAGGCGAACCGGGGGAACUGAAACAUCUAAGUACCCCGAGGAAAAGAAAUCAACCGAGAUUCCCCCAGUAGCGGCGAGCGAACGGGGAGCAGCCCGGAGUCUGAAUCAGCUUGUGUGUUAGUGGAACGGUCUGGAAAGUCCGACGGUACAGGGUGAUAGUCCCGUACACGAAAACACACUUGCUGUGAACUCGAAGAGUAGGGCGGGACACGUGGUAUCCUGUCUGAAUAUGGGGGGACCAUCCUCCAAGGCUAAAUACUCCUGACUGACCGAUAGUGAACCAGUACCGUGAGGGAAAGGCGAAAAGAACCCCGGCGAGGGGAGUGAAAAAGAACCUGAAACCGUGUACGUACAAGCAGUGGGAGCCUCUUUAUGGGGUGACUGCGUACCUUUUGUAUAAUGGGUCAGCGACUUAUAUUCUGUAGCAAGGUUAACCGUAUAGGGGAGCCGAAGGGAAACCGAGUCUUAACUGGGCGUUAAGUUGCAGGGUAUAGACCCGAAACCCGGUGAUCUAGCCAUGGGCAGGUUGAAGGUUGGGUAACACUAACUGGAGGACCGAACCGACUAAUGUUGAAAAAUUAGCGGAUGACCUGUGGCUGGGGGUGAAAGGCCAAUCAAACCGGGAGAUAGCUGGUUCUCCCCGAAAGCUAUUUAGGUAGCGCCUCGUGAACUCAUCUUCGGGGGUAGAGCACUGUUUCGGCUAGGGGGCCAUCCCGGCUUACCAACCCGAUGCAAACUACGAAUACCGAAGAAUGUUAUCACGGGAGACACACGGCGGGUGCUAACGUCCGUCGUGAAGAGGGAAACAACCCAGACCGCCAGCUAAGGUCCCAAAGUCAUGGUUAAGUGGGAAACGAUGUGGGAAGGCACAGACAGCCAGGAUGUUGGCUUAGAAGCAGCCAUCAUUUAAAGAAAGCGUAAUAGCUCACUGGUCGAGUCGGCCUGCGCGGAAGAUGUAACGGGGCUAAACCAUGCACCGAAGCUGCGGCAGCGACACUAUGUGUUGUUGGGUAGGGGAGCGUUCUGUAAGCCGUUGAAGGUGUGCUGUGAGGCAUGCUGGAGGUAUCAGAAGUGCGAAUGCUGACAUAAGUAACGAUAAAGCGGGUGAAAAGCCCGCUCGCCGGAAGACCAAGGGUUCCUGUCCAACGUUAAUCGGGGCAGGGUGAGUCGACCCCUAAGGCGAGGCCGAAAGGCGUAGUCGAUGGGAAACAGGUUAAUAUUCCUGUACUUGGUGUUACUGCGAAGGGGGGACGGAGAAGGCUAUGUCAGCCGGGCGACGGUUGUCCCGGUUUAAGCAUGUAGGCGGAGGUUCCAGGUAAAUCCGGUACCUUAUUAACGCUGAGGUGUGAUGACGAGGCACUACGGUGCUGAAGUGAUAAAUGCCCUGCUUCCAGGAAAAGCCUCUAAGCAUCAGGUAACACGAAAUCGUACCCCAAACCGACACAGGUGGUCAGGUAGAGAAUACCAAGGCGCUUGAGAGAACUCGGGUGAAGGAACUAGGCAAAAUGGUGCCGUAACUUCGGGAGAAGGCACGCUGAUAGGUAGGUGAAGCCCCUGCGGGCGGAGCUGAAAUCAGUCGAAGAUACCAGCUGGCUGCAACUGUUUAUUAAAAACACAGCACUGUGCAAACACGAAAGU
rnacentral:rRNA from 1 species